rnacentral:rRNA from 1 species
AACGAACGCUGGCGGCAUGCCUAACACAUGCAAGUCGAACGAGACCUUCGGGUCUAGUGGCGCACGGGUGCGUAACGCGUGGGAACCUGCCCUUAGGUUCGGAAUAACUCCCCGAAAGGGGUGCUAAUACCGGAUAAUGUCUUCGGACCAAAGAUUUAUCGCCUUUGGAUGGGCCCGCGUUGGAUUAGCUAGUUGGUAGGGUAAAAGCCUACCAAGGCGACGAUCCAUAGCUGGUCUGAGAGGAUGAUCAGCCACACUGGGACUGAGACACGGCCCAGACUCCACGGGAGGCAGCAGUGGGGAAUAUUGGACAAUGGGCGAAAGCCUGAUCCAGCAAUGCCGCGUGAGUGAUGAAGGCCUUAGGGAUGUAAAGCUCUUUUACCCGGGAUGAUAAUGACAGUACCGGGAGAAUAAGCUCCGGCUAACUCCGUG